rnacentral:rRNA from 1 species
AACGAACGCUGGCGGCAGGCUUAACACAUGCAAGUCGAGCGCCCCGCAAGGGGAGCGGCAGACGGGUGAGUAACCGGUGGGAAUCUACCCAAAACUACGGAAUACCUCCGGGAAACUGGACUUAAUACCGUAUGUGCCCACCGGGGGAAAGAUUUAUCGGUAUUGGGUGAGCCCGCGUUGGUUUAGCCAGUUGGUGGGGUAAUGGCCUACCAAGGCGACGAUCCAUAGCUGGUCUGAGAGGAUGGUCAACCACCCUGGGACUGAGACACAGCCCAGACUCCUACGGGAGGCAGCAGUGGUGAAUGUUGGACAAUGGGCGAAAGCCUGAUCCAGCCAUGCCGCGUGAGUGAUGAAGGCCUUAGGGUUGUAAAGCUCUUUCAGUAGGGACGAUAAUGACGGUACCUACAGAAGAAGCCCCGGCUAACUUCGUGCCAGCCGCCGCUGUAACAC